UUCCGGACGAAUGUGAUUUCCGGUAAAUACUGCCCGGUGCCUUGCGGGGUUAACGGCGGCUGUAAAUGGUCUGAAGGUAGCGAAAUUCAUUGUCUCUUAAUUGGAGUCCUGCAUGAAGUAACAACGAGGGGGAGACUGUCUCUUCAGGGUUAUCGUUGAAAGAGACCUGUAGGUGAAAAUGCCUACAUAUACUUAAAAGGCGAUGAGACCCCGAGCAACUUUAUCUGUUGGGUGGAGCUCGUCCACCUCCCGGGUUUGGCUGGGGUAGCAGGGGGAUAAGCAAAACUCCCACCAGUGAUCUAAGCUGACGGGCUAAGACCUGGUUAAAUUAGCAAAAAGCGGGUAAGUUACGCCGGGGAUAACAGCGCGUUUCCCCAACAGAGGCCAUAUCGGUUGGGGUUCGGGCGACCUCGAUGUUGAAUCAAGGGGAGUCGGUGGUGGCGCAGCAGCUCGCCGGCGGGUCUGUUCGACCUUUAGAGCCUU
rnacentral:rRNA from 1 species